rnacentral:rRNA from 1 species
UUGAACGCUGGCGGAAUGCUUAACACAUGCAAGUCGAACGCACUCUUCGGAGUGAGUGGCAGACGGGUGAGUAACGCGUGGGAACGUACCUUUUGCUUCGGAAUAUUCUCGGGAAACUGAGAGCAAUACCGAAUACGCCCUGAGGGGGAAAGAUUUAUCGGCAAAAGAUCGGCCCGCGUUAGAUUAGGUAGUUGGUAGGGUAAUGGCCUACCAAGCCUACGAUCUAUAGCUGGUCUGAGAGGAUGAUCAGCCACAUUGGGACUGAGACACGGCCCAAACUCCUACGGGAGGCAGCAGUGGGGAAUAUUGGACAAUGGGCGAAAGCCUGAUCCAGCCAUGCCGCGUGAAUGAUGAAGGCCUUAGGGUUGUAAAAUUCUUUCACCGGGGACGAUAAUGACGGUACCCGGAGAAGAAGCCCCGGCUAACUUCGU